AACAAUAUUGCAUGUCAUAUAUUUUCUCUCCUUAAAUACAAUACUAUACAAAGUACACUAAAAAUAACCUACACUUUUUUGGCAUAAUAUCAGAGGAUGGCAAUUAGUAUAAGCCUAUAGGCCUACCGUAUAUAAAAAACAAGGUCUCUGAUGUAUAAAAAAGGUGUUAGAGUUUAUUUAUUUUUCUUUUAAUAUAUUUACAUUAAUGGUAGUGUUUUGUAUUUAUUUGAUGCUAAAAAUAAAGAACAGGAGUUAAUUAUGAAGGAAAAAGAGGAGGAAAGAAUAUAUAAACACACACACACACACACACAGUAAUGAGUGACUAUGAGUGACUUAUGCUCGCUCGCUCGCUCUCUCUCUCUCUCUCUCUCUCUCUCUCUCUCUAAAAAUGUGAAAAAAAGAGAACAGUUUAAAUGGAAAAAUAUGCAUCUGUACUUUGCAAUACUACUAAAAACACAGAGAGAGAGAGAGAGAGAGAGAGAGAGAGAGAGAGAGAGAGAGAGAGAGAGAGAGAGACUGGAAACACCUCUUGGAAAACAAUGAAACUCAAUAAAAGAGACCUGAACACAUUUGAAACACUCCCAACACAACACAACACAGGGCUAACACACACACACACACACACACACACACACACACACACACACACACACACACACACACACACACACAA